rnacentral:misc_RNA from 1 species
AAGACGCACAAUCAUAGAGAUUUGUCAAAAUAAGAGGAAACACAAGCCCAUACAUGAUCCAGCUGCCUCACAUUUGACAAGCAUAAACAACUCAGUUCUAGCAUUACAAGAGACUAACGCUAACCCUUUCACUAAAGAUACAAGAUGCUACUAAAAUUCAUUGUCGAUCACCAGCUCUAUGCUGAUAAUCAACAGUUCACAUUACCUGGCCCUUCAUGAAGUAUCACUUUGCUGCUGUUGAGCUUCUUGUUGCUGUGGUUGAGUCUGUGGCCACGGCAUGAAUGCCACAGGUGGUCGAGGCUGCUGGGCUCCAUAGGCUGCUGCUUGAUCAACUGGCUUUCCCAUAAUCAUCCCUGGAGGUCCCACAGGAGGCUGUGGUGGGACAUAGUAAUACGGAAUAUCAGCAGGAGAACCAACCAUAGGAAUAGUAGCCUUAGUGACCCCUAAUCCCUCCUCUUUUAAUUCAUCUCUGGGAAUAAUAUCAACCAAGAAAUCAAAAACGUCAGUCCUCGAAAUGGCAGCUGCAAUAUCAUUCUUUUGUAAUGUCCUCCUCUUGUUCUCUUCUGUGUGAAUCCAAGAGCGCAGAGU